rnacentral:siRNA from 1 species
UCAUCCUUCUGGUUUUGGCUGC